rnacentral:rRNA from 1 species
GACGAACGCUGGCGGCGUGCUUAACACAUGCAAGUCGAACGGAAAGACCCUGCUUUUGUGGGGUGCUCGAGUGGCGAACGGGUGAGUAACACGUGAGUAACCUGCCCUUGACUUUGGGAUAACUUCAGGAAACUGGGGCUAAUACCGGAUAGGAGCUCCUGCUGCAUGGUGGGGUUGGAAAGUUUCGGCGGUUGGGGAUGGACUCGCGGCUUAUCAGCUUGUUGGUGGGGUAGUGGCUUACCAAGGCUUUGACGGGUAGCCGGCCUGAGAGGGUGACCGGCCACAUUGGGACUGAGAUACGGCCCAGACUCCUACGGGAGGCAGCAGUGGGGAAUAUUGCACAAUGGGCGGAAGCCUGAUGCAGCAACGCCGCGUGCGGGAUGACGGCCUUCGGGUUGUAAACCGCUUUCGCCUGUGACGCAGCGUGAGUGACGGUAAUGGGUAAAGAAGCACCGGCUAACUACGUG